CCUACGGGUGGCAGCAGUCGAGAAUCAUUCACAAUGGGGGAAACCCUGAUGGUGCGACGCCGCGUGGGGGAAUGAAGGUCUUCGGAUUGUAAACCCCUGUCAUGUGGGAGCAAAUUAAAAAGAUCGUACCACAAGAGGAAGAGACGGCUAACUCUGUUCCAGCAGCCGCGGUAAUACAGAGGUCUCAAGCGUUGUUCGGCAUCACUGGGCGUAAAGCGUGCGUAGGCUGUUUCGUAAGUCGUGUGUGAAAGGCGCGGGCUCAACACGCGGACGGCCCAUGAUACUGCGAGACUAGAGUAAGGGAGGGGGAACCGGAAUUCUCGGUGUAGCAGUGAAAUGCGUAGAUAUCGAGAGGAACACUCGUGGCGAAGGCGGGUUCCUGGACAUUAACUGACGCUGAGGCACGAAGGCCAGGGGAGCGAAAGGGAUUAGAUACCCGUGUAGUC
rnacentral:rRNA from 1 species